rnacentral:rRNA from 1 species
GAUGAACGCUGGCGGCAUGCCUAAUACAUGCCAGUCGAGCGAACAGACGAGGAGCUUGCUCCUCUGACGUUAGCGGCGGACGGGUGAGUAACACGUGGAUAACCUACCUAUAAGACUGGGAUAACUUCGGGAAACCGGAGCUAAUACCGGAUAAUAUAUUGAACCGCAUGGUUCAAUAGUGAAAGACGGUUUUGCUGUCACUUAUAGAUGGAUCCGCGCCGCAUUAGCUAGUUGGUAAGGUAACGGCUUACCAAGGCGACGAUGCGUAGCCGACCUGAGAGGGUGAUCGGCCACACUGGAACUGAGACACGGUCCAGACUCCUACGGGAGGCAGCAGUAGGGAAUCUUCCGCAAUGGGCGAAAGCCUGACGGAGCAACGCCGCGUGAGUGAUGAAGGUCUUCGGAUCGUAAAACUCUGUUAUUAGGGAAGAACAAAUGUGUAAGUAACUAUGCACGUCUUGACGGUACCUAAUCAGAAAGCCACGGCUAACUACGUG